rnacentral:rRNA from 1 species
GACGUAGGGUGCGAGCGUUGUCCGGAUUUAUUGGGCGUAAAGAGCUCGUAGGCAGCUCGUCGCGUCGGCUGUGAAAACCCGCGGCUUAACUGUGGGCUUGCAGCUGAUACGGGCGGGCUAGAGUUCGGUAGGGGAGACUGGAAUUCCUGGUGUAGCGGUGAAAUGCGCAGAUAUCAGGAGGAACACCGGUGGCGAAGGCG